AAGAAAUUCCAUUCCCAUUCCCAUUCCCAUUCCGGUUUAUGCUUUUUUAUUAUUUUUUUUUGACAAAAAAACCCCAUCGUUUCCAAAUUCCAACCCUAAUCGACUAGAGGAAGAACUGAAGAAGCGUAGACCUCCAAGAUACUCGUCAUCGUCGAACCGCCCUCCGACGAGGUGAUGUGAAGAUAUGGCAUCCCAAUACCUUAUGACAAACUGAAGGAACUAACCAUAGGAAGGGUAGUAACUAAAAGAGCAUACAAGAAUUUAUUGAAGGCUUGGAAUUGCCAAAGGUACAAGUGGGCAUGUAUUUAUCCACGCUGCAAAAAUUACUGAAAUAAUAUUUAUGUAUAGGUGUUAAACACCUCUCCACCCUUUAAUGACGUUUCUACAUGAGUGAAAUAAUUUUUGUUCAAUGUAAAAAUUUUUAUUUUCG